CUACGGGGGGCUGCAGUGGGGAAUAUUGCACAAUGGGGGGAACCCUGAUGCAGCAACGCCGCGUGGAGGAUGACACAUUUCGGUGCGUAAACUCCUUUUAUAUAAGAAGAUAAUGACGGUAUUAUAUGAAUAAGCACCGGCUAACUCCGUGCCAGCAGCCGCGGUAAUACGGGGGGUGCAAGCGUUACUCGGAAUCACUGGGCGUAAAGAGCAUGUAGGCUGGUUUGUAAGUUGGAAGUGAAAUCCUAUGGCUUAACCAUAGAACUGCCUCCAAAACUACUUACCUAGAGUAUGGGAGAGGUAGAUGGAAUUUCUGGUGUAGGGGUAAAAUCCGUAGAGAUCAGAAGGAAUACCGAUUGCGAAGGCGAUCUACUGGAACAUUACUGACGCUCAGAUGCGAAAGCGUGGGGAGCAAACAGGAUUAGAUACCCGUGUAGUC
rnacentral:rRNA from 1 species